GAAAUAAAAACGAGAAAGUCAAACAAAGUGCAAAAGAAAAACGGAAGCAGAGCAUAGAAAACAAAGAAAGCAGAGCAGCGAUUGGCAGAAGAGGACAUCUUUUUGUUCUUGGACUUCAAUGGCUCUUCUCAACUUUCAUUUGUCUACCCCACCCCCACAUUUCUCUCACUCUCCUUCUAAAGCACCCUCACUCUCUCUUCGUCCCACUUGUUCAAUCACCCACAAAACCCCAUCUAAAUUCUCCAUCAUUCAUGCCUCAAGAAAUUCGGGUCUCUUUCGGGUUCGGGCAAUGACACCCUCGUUCGGGUCCCGGUUAGAAGAGACUGUUAGAAAGACUGUUUCUGAUAACCCUGUUGUUGUUUACUCUAAAUCUUGGUGUUCGUAUUCGACUGAGGUGAAACAAUUGUUCAAGAGGCUUGGUGUGCAACCAUUAGUUAUUGAAUUGGAUCAAUUGGGUCCCCAAGGACCGCAACUACAGAAGGUGCUGGAAAGACUGACCGGACAGCAUACGGUGCCAAAUGUUUUUAUUGGUUGACAAGUUUAAUCCUCAGCUGAACUUUGCCCUGAAUAAUAGGCUUCGACAUUGUCUAUAUUAUAAGUAGGGCUGCCAAAAGGGCGGGGGAGUGGGAGGGGUCAGACCUGGCAAUUUGGUACACGACACAAAAUGUUGGUGUUUGGGUUUCAAUUAUUGAUACUCCCUCCGUCCCCCUGAGUAGUAUACAUUGGGGGACGGGGACGCGCCACGGACUUUAAUGCUCCUGCAAAGUGUAGUUGUGCAAUCGAUUUUUAAAAUUUUUCUUUUCUGAAUUGAAGUUUGGAUGUUAUAUUUUUAUACAGAAAAAGAAAAUCGCAAAAAUAAUUUACAGAAUUAUAUUUAUAAAAGCAUUGAGAUGCGUGUCGAGCAAUUAAAAAGAAACGUAUAUAAUUAAAUGGGACAGAGGGAGUACACAAACACAAAAGUACACGAACACAAAAAUACACGGUAAAUUUAGUGUUGGUUAUGGGUUUUCAUUUCAUAUACACGAAAGUACACGAUAUAAAAAUAGUUUUAAAUUUAUAAGUAGAUUUUAACGUGAAAACAUAUACAUAAUAUAUAUAUAUAUAAAUCUACACAUCCAUUCGUAAUUGUAUGCAAAUAUAAAUUUUUAAUAUAUAUUUCAUAAAAUAGUACAUAAAAAUGUAUAUUUCAGUUGCAUUUUAUAAAUUUAUUUAUAUUAAAUGUACACGAAAGUGACACGAAACUGGCUUUUAGCUUUCUUCUGUUGGACGAAGAUUCAAUAUCAGACCAUGGGUUUCAGUUAAAGUGUAGGUAAAUGUGAUUGUAUCCCUACUUUGCUGUGACGAGAAACUUAUCCCCUUGUACUUCAAAAAUAUUAUGUCUGGCUUUUUGGGUUUUGCAUCAGGUUUUACGUAUGUUCAUUGGUAUUUAUUUCACCAUUUGAUAUCUAUGAUGGGAUUAGAAUAAGGGAUUGGUUUUUAAUAUCAUAUAUACAUAGAGCAAGAUGGCUGUCAAAGUCAUUGUCUAGCAUUGUUAAUAAGAAAAUGUUUUUGUAAUUAGGUUUCUAUAUAGGCGUGCAUAAAGCAUGGCUGAAGUUUACAUUUGUUAUUAGACAAAUUAGCAACAUCCAGUUUACAUUUUAGUCUUUGUUUAAUAUAUCCACAUAUGAUCAAAAAUGAAUUAUUGCUGAAGUUCUUUCUGGUCUUCUGUACUCUUGAGCAGGGGCUAAACACAUUGGAGGUUGUACAGAUACUAUCAAACUACACCGGAAAGGAGAGCUUGAACCUUUGCUGUCAGAAGCUUGUGGCAAAAAGGCAGAGAGCUAAUUUUCAAAGCUUAUUGUCAUUUGUCAAUUGUAUUCUUCAUUAUCCCCCAUAUGUUAGAUAUCAUAACUAAGUUAAGACAUAUUCCCUUGUCUUUCAAAAAUAGAAUAUGUACACAGAAUAAUCAUUUAUUGGUAUGACAUCUUUACCCAUAUUCACAUA